GGAGGGUACAGCUCAGUGGUAAAGUGUGUGCUUAGCAUGCACAAGGUCCUGGGUUCAGUCCCCAGCACCUCCA
rfam:Camelus ferus unplaced genomic scaffold scaffold1592, whole genome shotgun sequence.